rnacentral:sRNA from 1 species
AGCCUGGGCGCGUCCAUCGUCGAGUACCUUCUCCUCUGCCUCCCCCUCCCUCUGCUUCUAUCUCUCUCCAAUUGCCCUCCCUGGCCUGCGGCCGCCCGGUCCUCCGUCCCAGCCCGGUGUAGCCAGGCACCCGGGUUCGGCUUGCUCAGGUAUCUGUCCGCGACUGGGAAGCCACGGAGGGCCCGGAAAGUGGCACACUCUUGGAGCGCAAGCUUCCUACUCUCUCAUCGCUGAAUAACUAACGGGCAGGACUGGGUGGAACAGACAGCAUAUCUAGGUCAUUGAUGGGCUGCUGGGUGGAUGGAGCUGGAAAGUGAUGGGCACUGCUUUCUGGGGCUGCCCAGGUUCCUUCCGAGGGCUCUCUUUUCCUGGGCAGAGCGGGAAAGAGGAGGGGCAGGCCGGUUGCGAAACGCAAAUAGUGGAGAAUAGCGAUCCGGGGAGAAGCAGGUGUCUGUGGGGCCCAAGAGAAGCACCAUCUCGCAAAUGAUGAUCAAAGUCAACUGACAAACUGUCACGGAAUCUGCCAGACCUCACUCUGGCCUUGCCGCUUCUCUCCAGCU